rnacentral:rRNA from 1 species
AUGAACGCUGGCGGCGUGCCUAACCCAUGCAAGUCGAACGAAGCACCUUACCUGAUUCUUCGGAUGAAAGUUUGGUGACUGAGUGGCGGACGGGUGAGUAACGCGUGGGUAACCUGCCCUGUACAGGGGGAUAACAGCUGGAAACGGCUGCUAAUACCGCAUAAGCGCACGAGGAGACAUCUCCUUGUGUGAAAAACUCCGGUGGUACAGGAUGGGCCCGCGUCUGAUUAGCUGGUUGGCAGGGUAACGGCCUACCAAGGCAACGAUCAGUAGCCGGUCUGAGAGGAUGAACGGCCACAUUGGAACUGAGACACGGUCUAAACUCCUACGGGAGGCAGCAGUGGGGAAUAUUGCACAAUGGGGGAAACCCUGAUGCAGCAACGCCGCGUGAGUGAAGAAGUAUUUCGGUAUGUAAAGCUCUAUCAGCAGGGAAGAUAAUGACGGUACCUGACGAAGAAGCUCCGGCUAAAUACGUG